UACGUAGGGGGCAAGCGUUGUCCGGAAUUAUUGGGCGUAAAGAGCGUGUAGGCGGUCCGGUAAGUCAGCUGUGAAAGUCAAGGGCUCAACCCUUGAAUGCCGGUUGAUACUGUCGGGCUAGAGUCCGGAAGAGGCGAGUGGAAUUCCCGGUGUAGCGGUGAAAUGCGCAGAUAUCGGGAGGAACACCAGAGGCGAAGGCGGGUUACUGGGCUGAUACUGACGCUGAUGCGCGAAAGCCAGGGGAGCAAACGGG
rnacentral:rRNA from 1 species